rnacentral:rRNA from 1 species
CCUACGGGGGGCAGCAGUCGAGAAUCAUUCACAAUGGGGGAAACCCUGAUGGUGCGACGCCGCGUGGGGGAAUGAAGGUCUUCGGAUUGUAAACCCCUGUCAUGUGGGAGCAAAUUAAAAAGAUAGUACCACAAGAGGAAGAGACGGCUAACUCGGUGACAGCAGCCGCGGUAAUACAGAGGUCUCAAGCGUUGUUCGGAAUCACUGGGCGUAAGGCGUGCGUAGGCUGUUUCGUAAGUCGUGUGUGAAAGGCGCGGGCUCAACCCGCGGACGGCACAUGAUACUGCGAGACUAGAGUAAUGGAGGGGGAACCGGAAUUCUCGGUGUAGCAGUGAAAUGCGUAGAUAUCGAGAGGAACACUCGUGGCGAAGGCGGGUUCCUGGACAUUAACUGACGCUGAGGCACGAAGGCCAGGGGAGCGAAAGGGAUUAGAUACCCUUGUAGUC